rnacentral:rRNA from 1 species
UACGGGGGGUGCAAGCGUUAUUCGGAUUUAUUGGGCGUAAAGGGCGCGUAGGCGGCUGGGUAAGUCUGGUGUGAAAACGCUACGGCUCAACUGAGCGAUUGCACUGGAUACUGCCCAACUUGAGUGCAGCAGAGGCGAACGGAAUACCUGGUGUAGCGGUGGAAUGCGUAGAUAUCAGGUAGAAUACCGGUGGCGAAGGCGGUUCGCUGGGCUGUAACUGACGCUGAGGCGCGAAAGCGUGGGGAGCAAACGGG